rnacentral:rRNA from 1 species
AUUGAACGCUGGCGGCAGGCCUAACACAUGCAAGUCGAGCGAGCGGCGGACGGGUGAGUAAUGUAUGGGGAACUGCCCGAUGGAGGGGGAUAACUACUGGAAACGGUGGCUAAUACCGCAUACUAUCGGAUGUACCCAUAUGGGAUUAGCUAGUAGGUGGGGUAAAGGCUCACCUAGGAGACGAUCUCUAGCUGGUCUGAGAGGAUGACCGGCCACACUGGGACUGAGACAAGGCCCAGACUCCUACGUGAGGCAGCAGUGGGGAAUAUUGCACAAUGGGCGCAAGCCUGAUGCAGCCAUGCCGCGUGUAUGAAGAAGGCCUUCGGGUUGUAAAGUUCUUUCAUCGGGGAGGCGUUACCCGCAGAAGAAGCACCGGCUAACUACGUGCCAGCAGCCGCGGUAAUAC